rnacentral:rRNA from 1 species
ACGCUCGACACCUACGGAGGCAGCAGUGGGGGAUAUUGCACAAUGGAGGAAACUCUGAUGCAGCGACGCCGCGUGAGGGAAGAAGGUUUUCGGAUUGUAAACCUCUGUCUUCGGUGACGAAAAUGACGGUAGCCGAGGAGGAAGCCACGGCUAACUACGUGCCAACAGCCGCGGUAAUCUGAGCGGGCUGGCAAGGC